GAUAGAGGAACGAAGACUAAAAGCAUAACGUCCUGUGAUAACGCCUUCAUGACCAACAUCCUGUUGU
rnacentral:sRNA from 1 species